AGUGAACGCUGGCGGCGUGCUUAACACAUGCAAGUCGAACGAGAACGGAUUAUAGCUUGCUGUAAUUGUCAGCUAAGUGGCGCACGGGUGAGUAAUGUAUAGGUAAUAUGCCUCUUACUAAGGGAUAACAAAUGGAAACGUUUGCUAAUACCUUAUACUCCUUAUUAACAGAAGUUAAUAAGGGAAAGAUUUAUUGGUAAGAGAUUAGCCUGUAUUGUAUCAGUUAGUUGGUGGGGUAAUGGCUUACCAAGACUAUGACACAUAACUGGUCUGAGAGGAUGAUCAGUCACACUGGAACUGAGACACGGUCCAGACUCCUACGGGAGGCAGCAGUGGGGAAUAUUGCACAAUGGACGAAAGUCUGAUGCAGCAACGCCGCGUGGAGGAUGACACAUUUCGGUGCGUAAACUCCUUUUAUAUGAGAAGAUAAUGACGGUAUUAUAUGAAUAAGCACCGGCUAACUCCGUGCCAGCAGCCGCCGUAA
rnacentral:rRNA from 1 species